rfam:Haemonchus contortus, ISE/inbred ISE, WGS project CAVP01000000 data, contig: Hcontortus_contig_pathogens_Hcontortus_scaffold_9794
GCCUUGUUAGCUCAGUAGGUAGAGUGUUAGACUUCUAAUCUAUUGGUCAGGAGUUCGAGUCCCCUACGGGGUC